CGGAAAUAUGUGUUUCCCUGGAAUUGGCCGCUGACUUGGCUGUGUCCGUGGGAACUGUGGGAAGGUGUCUUGGGCUGAUGGCGUAACUCCCGUUAUGUUUUUGUUUUGUUUCUUAGGUUAGUCAACUGUUGUCUUAAAGUCUACUUCUCUGCUGGAGGGGCAUGGAGCUAAGACAGCAGCGCUAAGUUUUAGUUGGGAAGUACCGAAGACAUAACGCACACGUCGGGCUGGAUUGUCACUGAGUUUUAAGGAUAUAUGAAAAGUAUAUUGACUCCAAUGCAAAAACGUUUUAACAAUUAUGAAAGUACUUACAUGGAAUUGAAAACUAGAAAUGUUUGGUAUUUUCUAAGAUUGUACUACACUAUGUCUAUAUUUUUAUAUGUGGGCUUGAAAAGAAACCGCAAUAAAGCAUAUCUCCGUG